CUACGGGCGGCUCCAGUGGGGAAUAUUGGACAAUGGGGGAAACCCUGAUCCAGCAAUGCCGCGUGUGUGAAGAAGGCCUGCGGGUUGUAAAGCACUUUCGGUUGGGAGGACUGCUUCUAGCACUAAUAUUGUUGGAAGUUGACGUUACCUUCAGAAGAAGCACCGGCUAACUCCGUGCCCGCAGCCGCGGUAAUACGGAGGGUGCAAGCGUUAAUCGGAAUUACUGGGCGUAAAGCGCGCGUAGGCGGCUAGAUCAGUCGGGUGUGAAAGCCCCGGGCUUAACCUGGGAACUGCAUCCGAUACUGUCUAGCUUGAGUACAGGAGAGGAGAGUGGAAUUCCACAUGUAGCGGUGAAAUGCGUAGAUAUGUGGAGGAACACCAAUGGCGAAGGCAGCUCUCUGGCCUGAUACUGACGCUGGGGUGCGAAAGCGUGGGGAGCAAACAGGAUUAGAUACCCUCGUAGUC
rnacentral:rRNA from 1 species